UACGUAGGUCCCGAGCGUUGUCCGGAAUUACUGGGUGUAAAGGGUGCGCGGGCGGUCUUGUGCGUCAGAAGUGAAAUAUCACGGCUUAACCGUGAGGGUGCUUUUGAUACGGCAAGACUUGAGUACGGGAGAGGAUGAUGGAAUUCCUGGUGUAGCAGUGAAAUGCGUAGAUAUCAGGAGGAACACCGGUGGCGAAGGCGGUCAUCUGGCCCGGUACUGACGCUGAGGCGCGAAAGCGUGGGGAGCAAACAGG
rnacentral:rRNA from 1 species